CCCAUCUGUUCUUACUUAGAGACAGUCUGCCUUUGAGCUCUGCUGGUGACCAAAACCUAAAUUGUAGCAGACAAAACACAGUCUUUUAUCAUGAAACAACAUAAACCAGAGCAGAAAUUUAAGGUUCUUCUCUUUUGAAAACUCAGAAUGUCUUUCAAAUAUCUUACCCAUGUGUAACACAUUCUGGAAAUUUUAACCCAAUUUCAUAAUGAGUGUAGACUUGAGAACAGACAUAGUUUAAAGACCAGACAUACUUAUAAGUUAAUUAGAUCUAUGCCUCUCAGGGAUAUAGCAGUGUUCUUAUUCUACAUAUACAUGAAGAAUUUAUAUUUUCACACCAGUAGGAAGUAUACCUACAUUAAGCCUUGGCAACAUGGCCAAACUCAUCUCUACAAAAUAUCAAAAAUUAGCCGGGCAUGAUGGCUCAUACUUGUAUUCCCAGCUACUCAGCAGGCUGAGGUGAAAGGAUCUCUUGAGCCAGGGGAGGUUGAGGCUGCAGAAAGCCGUGAUUGUACCACUGCACUUCAACUUGGGUGACAGAGUGAGACCCUGUCUCAGAAGAAGAAGAAAGAGGAAAGAAGAAAGAAGGAAGAAGAAGAAAAGAAGUAUACCUGCAUAUUAUAUAGGCUCUCUGUGAACAGAGAUUUGCUGAGAACGAGUAGGUGGUACCCAAGUGUGUUGUGCAGGUGUUGUUUGCAGCAUCCUAGGACUACAGUGUGUAAACUAAAAUAAAAUCCUAAGCCCACCAUAGACUGAACAGACCCCUUCUGAGCCAAGGGGACCCAAGAACAACUUAAAAACCAAGUUCCUGGUUAUGACGGAAUGAGAGAACAAGCUGCAGUGAGGACCUGAUAGUCAAAAUUACUUGGAGGAAAAUCACAGCUCUUCUCCCCUAGAAAGUCUGCUGAGUCUCACCAGGAGAAUCUCACAGGGAGGCUGCCACGAAUUCUCUCUGCAAGGACUGUGAAACUCAGAUCAACCAUAAGGUCUUGAAUAACUAUAAGAAUAAUUACGGUAAUGAUGACAGCUACUGCCUCUUGAAUGGUUAAUACGUGCCUGGCAUAAGUUCUUUACAACAAACAUAUAAGAAUUGCUGAUGGAAUUUUGUGCAUCUGUCCUGUUGGAGAGAGGAAUUUUUCACUGGAGAAAGCUCAAGCAUGAAGGCUGAAUGGUGGAAGAAGUAGGCUCUGAUGGACAUUACAGUUUAUCCCUCCAGAUCCACUUUCCUUCCCCAGGCCACGCUCCAUCCUGCUCUGUGCUUCACCAAGUUGGCCUGUAUGGGCUAUGCUGGUGGCUUCUUUGCAUUCUGUCCUUUGGUUGGGCCUAGCCAAUGAGAGGCACUGGUAAGGGAUGAGAGGGUGGAGAAGAAUGAGGUUGCAUUAUAUAUUCUCUAAGCUCAUUCUCUGGUGGCCUGCCACGAAUUGGCCACCUCACUCCACCAAAAGUAGUUCUUUCUGUCAGGUAGCCCUUUCUAUGAAACUACUCUCUUUGAGUUCAAGCAACUUCUUCCUCCUCUUACACUUUAGAUCAAGGGGUGGUAACAGCUCCUAGCCCUUGCUAGCCUGAGAUUGCUGUACAAAUUUACUGGUUUUCUUGAUGUCUGCCUACACAUUAUUAAACUCUUCUCAUUAUCCAAGUUUGUAAAUGCCUUCUAUUUCUUGCCAGGAUCCCAACUGAUAUGGUUAGCCUGUGGAUUGAUUUCUUUAAACUCAUGUUUUCACCCCUUGUCCCAUCAGACAUGGUCAGGAGCUGUAAGUUUAAAUACCACAAACACA
rnacentral:lncRNA from 1 species